UCAAGUACCACAACACUGCCGCAUGGUACAAAAUGUGGGACAAAGUAGAGGCAAAAAAUAUGGUAGAUUUAAAUAAGCUUGAUCAUCUUUAAACUGGUUUCCUCUGGAAGUAUUUCAAGAGAGAAUAAAACUCAUUAGUGAUAUUAUUUCCCACCUGAUUCAGAAUCGGUCUACAUUCACCGUUCUGAGUAGGUGAAGCUGCUUAUGCUGGGUUAUUACAGAUAGUUGUUGGAGGUAUUCUUGACAUGACUGUAACUCUGUCCCUGAUCCCCGUCGACCUCUCCACAGAACAAAGGAAGUGAUUCAAUAACGACGCGACACCUCGAGGCAUGCAGGCAAACCAAGCAGCUUCAGAAGAGAUCAGUCAUUAUGCCUCCUCUCCUUUAUCUCCUGUCUGCCUUCCUCACUCUCCAGCCCUCUCCGUCGCUCUUCAGACAGGUAACGGUGCUGCAACAGCUUCGACAUUCGCUGAGUGAAGCCGUCAGGAAACGUGAGGCGCAAACACCAAGUUCAGAGCAGAAAGGUAAAGAUUUCCUGGACCUUCUAGUUUCCAACACUCAGAUAUGGUCACAAGAUAAGGAUCAGAACUGAAACUCAAGCAGGCAGCUUCUUUCCUGAGCGUCCGAGAUCAGCAUUAGACAUAAGAUGAAGAGUAAAACCUCUGCUUCCCCUCUUAAAAAUGAGGCUGCAUUCACACAA